UCUCAGAUGUCGUCACGCUCUGCCACA
rnacentral:piRNA from 1 species